rnacentral:rRNA from 1 species
AUGAAAGCUUCAGAAAUUUGGUUCUCCAAGGAGUCAACAGGUCCAGUUCCCAUAGAGCCAGUUGCUAAUGUGGAAGAAGAUGUACAUGGCAUAGAGUUUGAGUCCUCUGAUGAGGAUUACAGUUAUGAUGAAGAUGAAGAUGGUCAGAUGGUUAGGAGGAAGAUCCAGUAUGUUAGGUUCAAUCCAGAGACAGAAAUUCUACAUUUUAGUUUGGGAAUGGUGUUUAGAAGCAAGAACCAAUUAGUUAAAGCACUCAAGAGGUAUGGGCUAGCUACUAAGAGGAGCAUUUCAUUUGUAAAAUCUGAGGAGUAGAGGGUGAGAGCAAAAUGUGACUGGCCUGGUUGCCCCUAGAUGUUGUAUGGUGCCAAGACAAGUAGAUGUUCUAGGUUUCAGGUAAUUACCUAUGAAGAUGAGCACCAGUGUGCACAGAACAGGGAGAACAAGCUUGUUAGUGCUAAGGUGAUUGCAAAUAGAUAUGAACACAUUAUCCUAGCAAAUCCAAUGUGGAAAAUUGACAGCAUUAAAGCCACAGUGCGCAAAGAUAUGUUUGCUGAUGUGUCAGUUUCCAAAUGCAAGGCAGCAAAGAAAAUAGUACUUGACAAACUCAUGUGUGGCAUGAAAAGUGAGUACACAAAAGUGUUUGACUACCAACUAGAACUGCUGAGGAGCAACCAUGGCAGUACUGUGGCCAUUACAUUAGAUCCCACAGCGCUGCAGAAGAACAUUUUCAAUAGUUGUAUGUCUGUUUUGAUGCUAUGA